rnacentral:rRNA from 1 species
UACGUAGGGGGCAAGCGUUGUCCGGAUUUAUUGGGCGUAAAGAGCGUGUAGGCGGCCUGAAAGGUCAGCUGUGAAAACUCGAGGCUCAACCUCGAGACGUCGGUUGAAACCAUCUGGCUAGAGUCCGGAAGAGGAGAGUGGAAUUCCCGGUGUAGCGGUGAAAUGCGCAGACUAUCGGGAAGAACACCCGUGGCGAAGGCGGCUCUCUGGGACGGUACUGACGCUGAGACGCGGAAAGCGUGGGGAGCGAACAGG